rnacentral:rRNA from 1 species
AUACGUAGGUGGCAAGCGUUGUCCGGAUUUACUGGGCGUAAAGGAUGCGUAGGCGGAUAUUUAAGUGAGAUGUGAAAUCCCUAAGCUUAACUUAGGUGCUGCAUUUCAAACUGGAUAUCUAGAGUGCGGGAGAGGAGAAUGGAAUUCCUAGUGUAGCGGUGAAAUGCGUAGAGAUUAGGAAGAACACCAGUGGCGAAGGCGAUUCUCUGGACCGUAACUGACGCUGAGGCAUGAAAGCGUGGGUAGCAAACAGGAUUAGAUACCCUGGUAGUCCACGCCGUAAACGAUGAGUACUAGGUGUAGGAGGGUCCAACCUUCUGUGCCGCAGUUAACACAAUAAGUACUCCGCCUGGGAAGUACGAUCGCAAGAUUAAA